UACGAAGGGUGCAAGCGUUAUUCGGAAUCAUUGGGCGUAAAGCGCGCGCAGGCGGAUUCGUAAGUCAGGGGUGAAAUCCCGGGGCUCAACCUCGGAACUGCCUUUGAUACUGCGGGUCUUGAGUCCGAUAGAGGUGGGUGGAAUUCCUAGUGUAGAGGUGAAAUUCGUAGAUAUUAGGAAGAACACCGGUGGCGAAGGCGGCCCGCUGGAUCGGUACUGACGCUGAGGUGCGAAAGCGUGGGGAGCAAACAGG
rnacentral:rRNA from 1 species